ACUGCUCAGUAACACGUCGAUAAUCUGCCCUUAGGUCAGGGAUAACCUUGGGAAACUGAGGCUAAUACCCGGCAGGGAAUGGAAACUGGAAUGUUCUAUUCCUGAAAGCUUCGGCGCCUAAGGAUGAGUCGGCGGCCCAUCAGGUAGUUGGCGGUGUAACGGACCACCAAGCCUAAGACGGGUAGGGGCCAUGAGAGUGGUUGCCCCGAGAAGGACACUGAGAUACUGGUCCUAGCCCUACGGGGUGCAGCGGUUACGAAACCUUUACAAUGCACGCAAGUGUGAUAAGGGGAUUCUGAGUGCUUAUGUAUUGCAUAGGCUUUUGCCAAGAGUAAAGAUCUUGGCGAAUAAGUGGUGGGCAAGACUGGUGCCAGCCGCCGCGGUAACCCCAGCGCCACAAGUGGGAACCACGUUUAUUGGGUCUAAAGCAUCCGUAGCCGGUUAAGUAAAUUUCCUGUGAAAUCGUCGGGCUCAACUCGACGGCGUGCAGGGAACACUGCUUAACUUGAGACCAGGAGAGGUAGAAAGUAUUCCAGGGGGAGCGGUAAAAUGUUAUAAUCCCUGGAGGACUACCGAUGGCGAAGGCAUUCUACCAGAAUGGAUCUGACGGUGAGGGAUGAAAGCUAGGGGAGCGAUCCGGAUUAGAUACCCGAGUAGUCCUAGCUGUAAACGCUGCGUGCCAGAUGUUGCACAAUCCACGAGAUUGUGCAGUGUCGCAACGAAGGUGUUAAGCACGCCACCUGGGAAGUACGGCCGCAAGACUGAAACUUAAAGGAAUUGGCGGGGGAGCAC
rnacentral:rRNA from 1 species